CACGCCCCCUGCCUCCUUCCUUGUUUCGACGCGCCUCACCUCGCUCUCUAGCCCUCAGCUCCUCGGAAUGCGUGGGGGCUUCCUGCAACAUCAGUGUCAGCCGCCCUCCACUAAAUCGCGACCCUGUGAAGGUGUUUCCACUGUGCCCAUCACACUGGGAGAAAUUGAGGCGGGGGCGAGGAUCAUGCUGGCUUCAGUAGGUAGAGCUGAUGGAAGGAGGUAAGACAGGAAGGAACUACAUAGUCUAGAAGGAACAGUGCAUCAAUUCUGAGCCUAGAUGUCCAGAGGCCUUACAUGCUUUGGCUGUCUCUUUUGGGGCUCUGCCCAGGCACCCAGCGAAUACCCUGGGCUAGCCUGCUGGAAUGUGAGAGCUCAUGUGCAGCAGUACUUAGCCAACCCAGCCGCGGCCAUCGGAAAUAAACCAGCACCCAGUCAACUUGGCAGCUGACCACCAACAGAUAAGUGGACUCCCUUAAGACCAGAAGAAAUACCCAGCUGACCUCAGCCAAAACUGCUAACCCACACAACAUCUUACAGUGGCUGAGGUAUGGGGCUGUAGAAAUUGGAAAAAUGGAUACACUACGGAAACAACUGGACCAAAAAAUGCAGAAAAUUUUUUUAAAAAGUAUAUAUGAAGGUAAGUAAGUUAUUCUAUUUGGCUGGAGGUAUAGGGAAUAAGGUUGGAAAGGGAAGUUAAAAUCAGAAAGAUGUAUGGCUUUGAAAUUAUAGGCUUUUACAGUUAUUUUCAACAUUAUCUAGCAUCAUUGCCCAUUUUCUCUCUUUCUUCCUCUCUCUCUGCCCCCACCUCCAUUCCACACACCUUACUGUGAGGGUAGUAUACAUGAUUAUCUGGGAAGUGAUAAGGAUAGGAUCAAAGUCAGAGAGACAAGUUAGCAGACUGAAACAUGCUCUGGAGCAAAACAAUGAGUUCUAGUCUCACAGGCCUGAAGUUUCACCAUUUUAUUAUAGUAUUGAUGCAGGUGAACCCCCAAACUGGGGCUCAGCCCAGGAGGCUUCCUGGCUUCACACAGGAAAGAAUUCAAGAAUGAA